rnacentral:rRNA from 1 species
GAUGAACGCUGGCGGCGUGCCUAAUACAUGCAAGUCGAGCGAACGGACGAGAAGCUUGCUUCUCUGAUGUUAGCGGCGGACGGGUGAGUAACACGUGGAUAACCUACCUAUAAGACUGGGAUAACUUCGGGAAACCGGAGCUAAUACCGGAUAAUAUUUUGAACCGCAUGGUUCAAAAGUGAAAGACGGUCUUGCUGUCACUUAUAGAUGGAUCCGCGCUGCAUUAGCUAGUUGGUAAGGUAACGGCUUACCAAGGCAACGAUGCAUAGCCGACCUGAGAGGGUGAUCGGCCACACUGGAACUGAGACACGGUCCAGAGUCCUACGGGAGGCAGCAGUAGGGAAUCGUCCGCAAUGGGCGAAAGCCUGACGGAGCGACGCCGAGUGAGUGAUGAAGGUCUUCGGAUCGUAAAACUCUGUUAUUAGGGAAGAACAUAUGUGUAAGUAACUGUGCACAUCUUGACGGUACCUAAUCAGAAAGCCACGGCUAACUACGUG